CCUACGGGUGGCAGCAGUCGAGAAUCAUUCACAAUGGGGGAAACCCUGAUGGUGCGACGCCGCGUGGGGGAAUGAAGGUCUUCGGAUUGUAAACCCCUGUCAUGUGGGAGCAAAUUAAAAAGAUAGUACCACAAGAGGAAGAGACGGCUAAAUCUGUGCCAGCAGCCGCGGUAAUACAGAGGUCUCAAGCGUUGUUCGGAAGCACUGGGCGUAAAGCGUGCGUAGGCUGUUUCGUAAGUCGUGUGUGAAAGGCGCGGGCUCAACCCGCGGACGGCACGUGAUACUGCGAGACUAGAGUAAGGGAGGGGGAACCGGAAUUCUCGGUGUAGCAGUGAAAUGCGUAGAUAUCGAGAGGAACACUCGUGGCGAAGGCGGGUUCCUGGACAUUAACUGACGCUGAGGCACGAAGGCCAGGGGAGCGAAAGGGAUUAGAUACCCCGGUAGUC
rnacentral:rRNA from 1 species